GAUGAACGCUGGCGGCGUGCCUAAUACAUGCAAGUCGAGCGAACAGACGAGGAGCUUGCUCCUCUGACGUUAGCGGCGGACGGGUGAGUAACACGUGGAUAACCUACCUAUAAGACUGGGAUAACUUCGGGAAACCGGAGCUAAUACCGGAUAAUAUAUUGAACCGCAUGGUUCAAUAGUGAAAGACGGUUUUGCUGUCACUUAUAGAUGGAUCCGCGCCGCAUUAGCUAGUUGGUAAGGUAACGGCUUACCAAGGCAACGAUGCGUAGCCGACCUGAGAGGGUGGUCGGCCACACGGGAACUGAGACACGGUCCAGACUCUUGAGGGAGGCAGCAGUAGGGAAUCUUACGCAAUGGAGGAAAGCCUGACGGAGCAACGCCGCGUGAGUGAUGAAGGUCUGAGGAUCGUAAAACGCUGUUAUUAGGGAAGAACAAAUGUGUAAGUAACUAUGCACGUCUUGACGGUACCUAAUCAGAAAGCCCCGGCUAACUACGUG
rnacentral:rRNA from 1 species